CCUACGGGGUGCAGCAGUGAGGAAUAUUGGUCAAUGGACGAGAGUCUGAACCAGCCAAGUAGCGUGAAGGAUGACUGCCCUAUGGGUUGUAAACUUCUUUUAUAUGGGAAUAAAACGUUCCACGUGUGGGAUUUUGUAUGUACCAUAUGAAUAAGGAUCGGCUAACUCCGUGCCAGCAGCCGCGGUAAUACGGAGGAUCCGAGCGUUAUCCGGAUUUAUUGGGUGUAAAGGGAGCGUAGGUGGAUUGUUAAGUCAGUUGUGAAAGUUUGCGGCUCAACCGUAAAAUUGCAGUUGAAACUGGCAGUCUUGAGUACAGUAGAGGUGGGCGGAAUUCGUGGUGUAGCGGUGAAAUGCUUAGAUAUCACGAAGAACUCCGAUUGCGAAGGCAGUUCACUGGACUGCAACUGACACUGAGGCUCGAAAGUGUGGGUAUCAAACAGGAUUAGAUACCCCAGUAGUC
rnacentral:rRNA from 1 species